GACGAACGCUGGCGGCGUGCCUAAUACAUGCAAGUAGAACGCUGAAGCUUGGUGCUUGCACCGAGCGGAUGAGUGGCGAACGGGUGAGUAACGCGUAGGUAACCUGCCUGGUAGCGGGGGAUAACUAUUGGAAACGAUAGCUAAUACCGCAUAAGAGUAGAUGUUGCAUGACAUUUGCGUAAAAGGUGCAAUUGCAUCACUACCAGGUGGACCUGCGUUGUAUUAGUUAGUUGGUGAGGUAACGGCUCACCCAGGCAACGAUACAUAGCCGGCCUGAGAGGGUGGUCGGCCACACUGGGAACGAGACACGGCCCAGACCCCUUCGGGAGGGAGCAGUAGGGAAACUUCGGCCAUGGGCGGAAGUCUGACCGAGGAACGCCGGGUGAGGGAAGAAGGUUUUCGGGUCGGAAAGGUCUGUUGUAAGGGAAGAACGAGCGUGAGAGUGGAACGUUCCCGCUGUGACGGUAUCUUACCAGAAAGCGACGGCUAACUACGUG
rnacentral:rRNA from 1 species